UCUGAUACUAGUAGAGCAUGUGUGUUGUGAAAAUACAAAUGACAUCAGUAUGUUAGCAGGCGCAAUGCUCAGAAGAGAGGAUGAUUGAAGCUUUUGUUUCACGGGCUUAGUUUUCAGGUCUAGGCACACUGAACAACCAUGGCUGGUAGGAUUUUGUAUGAGGUUGUCAUGCUGUCAUUGGUACGUACCUUAAUUCUGAUUGUAACUUGUGUCACUCUCAACAAAAAAAAGACAGAGUACAUUUGAUCUAGCAAUUAUUUUAAUUCUGUUCUGUAAAAGAAGACAUUUAUUCCCAGCAGUUCAAGGGAAACAUCUGCAUCUGCAUACAACCAACCACAAGAAGUAGGGGAUUCAUGCUGGCAUGCAAUACUGCUAUGCCUUUAGUGCAGAGCUUCAGAUUUCACCAUCCCAGAAAUCCUCCACGGUUUUGUAAAUACCUUGGGGGUGAACUACAAAUUCAGCUCUCAGCGUCUUAAUCUGCAUAUAGAAGACCAAAACAAUCUUAGAUAACCAAUAUCACAGGGUAAUUCUAUGGAUCUACAUGCAAUAUGUUUCUCAACAAUAAUUAUGCAUAACAUGAUUUUUAUUUAAAUGUAAUUUCUGACAAGGGUAUAGCAUUGCAUAAUACUAUCAGGGUAUACUAUAUGGCAAUAUAACCAACAGAACAAAGAUAGGUAGGAACAUUUGCAUGAAGAAUAAAAAUAACAGAGGUGUUGGGGCAUGCCUGUGGGAUUUCAGAGAAUUUUGACAUCAAGUCUUCAGGAAUAGACCAAUCAAAUAUGUCAAAGUUCUCCUUUAUCCUUGUCUCAUUGGUGCUUUUUGGAACUACACUCUGGCCCAUUUGAAGACCCCAGCGUAGAGCAACCUGUGCAGGAGUUUUCUGUAGCUUCUCGGCAACAGAGAUGACAAUAGGGUUGCUAAGAAAGCUUGGACCCUUGAAAGCAGGUGAUCCAGGUCUACCUAGCGGUGAAUAUGCCUGCAAAAACCGAAGUAAAGAAUAUAUGAACAAACUGAAGUGGACUAACUAAUGUAGUAGUAGUGAUUUUGUAGAAACUAGACAGUAGCUGCUUGAAAAAAAACAGAGGAAACAGUCAGUACAUUUGAGAUGUUCACAACUUACAGAAAUAUGAACACCCUUUGACUGACAAAGUGCACGGAGUUUUGUUUGCUGCCAACCUGGAUGGGACUCAACCUGGUUGACUGCUGGAGUUACCCUAGCAAUGGCAAGCAAAUCCUCCAUCCUCUUACAAGAGAAGUUACUCACACCGAUGGCACGAGCCUUGCCAGAGUCAUAUAACUUCUCCAUUGCUCCCCACGUAGCAGGAACAUCAAGAGGAAUAUAGUUUUCAGCAGUUCGGACAGCGCCUUUCUCAGUACGAACUGGAGCAUGGAUCUGCAAAGUAUAGGACAUCAUCAACAAACUAACUAAGUUCUGUUGAACAACAGGCACAUUAAAGGGGCAUCCUCUGAUGUGAUUGAAAGCUACGGGUCAAAUAUUUACCUCCUUCUCAUUGCGGUAUGCCGGAGCACAAUCAAUCUGCCGGUAUCCAGCCUGUAUUGUAAUGGCAUAAAAUUCUUAGAUUUGAAUAAAAUGGUACAGUUUAACUUUUCAUACUUAAGGAGCUCCACUAGCAUUUUUGUGA